UGGGGAAUUUUCCGCAAUGGGGGGAACCCUGACGGAGCAACGCCGCGUGCGGGAGGACGGCCUGUGGGUUGUAAACCGCUUUUCUCUGGGAAGAAGCUCUGACGGUACCAGAGGAAUCAGCAUCGGCUAACUCCGUGCCAGCAGCCGCGGUAAGACGGAGGAUGCAAGCGUUAUCCGGAUUUACUGGGUUUAAAGGGUGCGUAGGCGGCUUUUUAAGUCAGUGGUGAAAGCCUAGACACUUAAUGUCAGAAGUGCCAUUGAUACUGAAGAGCUUGAGUCGAGGAGAGGUAAGCAGAAUUUGUGGUGUAGCAGUGAAAUGCUUAGAUACCAUGAGGAAUACCAACAGCGAAAGCAGCUUACUGGCCUUGUACUGACGCUGAGGCACGAAAGCGUGGGGAGCAAACAGGAUUAGAUACCCCUGUAGUCC
rnacentral:rRNA from 1 species